ACGUCGAUACUGUCAAGUAAAGUGUUCCCAAAUAAUAUUUCACAGAUGGUGGAUCAUUCUGGUCGAAUGACUCAACCCAUUAUUUACAACAAUGUCAACCAAUAUUGCUUGAAUAACGUUUCAUCGGUAAAUGUGCUCCUUGUUUUCUGUGGUCAUACUCCUCCAUCUACAUCAUUCUCAUCUUCUUCUCCUGCUCAUCCUCCACUAUGGGCUCCACCUCUCAGCCUCACUCUUCCUCUCACUACAACUUGGCUGCUCUCCAUUUCUUUUGAAGACAGGUGAACUCACAUGAUGCCUUUGACAGUGCUUACAGUCCUUGAUGGCAAUCUGGGGGAAAAGGAAGCUGCCAGAACACUGACUGAGUGGAUCAUUGUUGAAUGCCUGUAUAAAUUACUGUGUGCGUGCUUUUGUCAAAGCCUCACCCAUCCAGAUAAUAAACAAAAGACUGGAUCGAUGA